rnacentral:rRNA from 1 species
CCUACGGGAGGCAGCAGUGGGGAAUUUUCCGCAAUGGGCGAAAGCCUGACGGAGCAACGCCGCGUGAGGGAUGAAGGCCUCUGGGCUGUAAACCUCUUUUAUCAAGGAAGAAGAUCUGACGGUACUUGAUGAAUAAGCCACGGCUAAUUCCGUGCCAGCAGCCGCGGUAAUACGGGAGUGGCAAGCGUUAUCCGGAAUUAUUGAGCGUAAAGCGUCCGCAGGCGGUCUUGUAAGUCUGUCGUUAAAGCGUGGAGCUCAACUCCAUUUCGGCGGUGGAAACUACAAGACUAGAGUGUGGUAGGGGCAGAGGGAAUUCCCGGUGUAGCGGUGAAAUGCGUAGAUAUCGGGAAGAACACCAGUGGCGAAGGCGCUCUGCUGGGCCAUAACUGACGCUCAUGGACGAAAGCUAGGGGAGCGAAAGGGGAUUAGAUACCCCCUGUAGUCCUAGCCGUAAACGAUGAACACUAGGUGUCGGGGGAAUCGACCCCCUCGGUGUCGUAGCUAACGCGUUAAGUGUUCCGCCUGGGGUAGGUACGCGACGCGAGUAGUAGAACGUACAAAGUAGAAGUUAGUACGGUGGUAGACGUUAGCCGAACGGACGACGACGAGGGAGGAGG